GACAAGUUCUUCCUUCGAGGGUAGGUGCUGAGGUCUUACCCUUCACUGUUUCCACAGCACCUGGUGGACACAUAAUACCUCUCCUGUCGUGGAGGUCU